rnacentral:rRNA from 1 species
AUUGAACGCUGGCGGCAGGCCUAACACAUGCAAGUCGAGCGGAUGAAGGGAGCUUGCUCCCGGAUUCAGCGGCGGACGGGUGAGUAAUGCCUAGGAAUCUGCCUGGUAGUGGGGGAUAACGUCCGGAAACGGGCGCUAAUACCGCAUACGUCCUGAGGGAGAAAGUGGGGGAUCUUCGGACCUCACGCUAUCAGAUGAUCCUAGGUCGGAUUAGCUAGUUGGUGGGGUAAAGGCCUACCAAGGCGACGAUCCGUAACUGGUCUGAGAGGAUGAUCAGUCACACUGGAACUGAGACACGGUCCAGACUCCUACGGGAGGCAGCAGUGGGGAAUAUUGGACAAAGGGCGAAAGCCUGAUCCAGCCAUGCCGCGUGUGUGAAGAAGGUCUUCGGAUUGUAAAGCACUUUAAGUUGGGAGGAAGGGCAGUAAGUUAAUACCUUGCUGUUUUGACGUUACCAACAGAAUAAGCACCGGCUAACUUCGUG